UCAAUGUUUAUCCAGUGAUUAUCCCACAUAUUCCAGUGAUGGAGAUGGCUGCACUUCUAGCAAUUUCUUUUAUGAUUGGGCCCUAUUGAGCCAUGAUAUAAGUGCAACACCAGCUCCUCACUUUGUUGGUGCCUCCGUUUACCCUCAAUCUACUGAUCCUUCUGCUGUAGCGACUCUCAAGUCAGAAGAACCAACAUAUCUAGGAAAAAAGUUCGUAUUCCCAGCUGCUAAACUAAAUGAACUCAAACUCAGAGUUUCUCAAAACUCCAUGAUCCCACAUUUAGAAUUGCCUCAGGGCACAAGAGAAGUUUACUUUACAGUUUACACAAGAAGUAGCAAACAACACACAAGAUUACAAGUUUCUCUGCUCUCCUAAAGUUACUGCAACUUUUAGAAUGAAAAAGUUCCUGCUCAACAAGACCAAAUUGCUAUUUCUUCUCCUGCUCUCCAGCUGCUGCUCAACAAAACCAAAAAGCUGCUGCUCAAUAAGACCAAAGCUGCUCUCCAGUCUCUACUUCAUAUAUAAAAAUUAACAUUUCAAUAAUUUUUACAUGGGCAAAAUUAACAUCUCCAAUUAAUGUAUUUUAGACAAGAAUCUUCUCAUAUUCUCAUUAUAUAUAUUUUAAAUAUAACUAGUAGUAGUAAAUAUUUUUCAUGACAAAGCAAUGAAAAAUAUCUUAAAACGGUUAGUACGCCUGCCAUAUAUACUAGGACUACAUUCUAUCACAUGUAUUUACAACAAACAAACUCCAAAACUUUAAAAACAUGUUCAAGACAAGGAGUUAAAAAAAAGACUUUUCAUCAGCUCACAUCUGUUGAGGUAAACUUCAGCAAUCUGAAUACCACAAAAGUCAAAAGGUGUCGUUAAAAACCUUAGAGGAAAGGUAGAAAGUAAUAAGCUCUUCAUCAGUAGGAUUAACACUGUUAAGAACUGUAAUAAGUUCUGAUAGUUAAUCCUAUCAGUAAAGCAGGAUUACCAUUGUUAUGCAACAAGCAGGAUUAAUAUUGUUAGUUCAAUUAACAGUAAAUACACACUUAUAUACAACAAAUACUUGAAGCCUUGAUGGGUUAAAUUCGAAUUCUUACCAAAUAUAUUAAUAUUACACGUCAAUUACGGAAGGGUCUUUUCCAUUGCUGGCUAAAUCUGAAGAAAAAAAAUUAAAAUAAUGAGUCGUGCGAUAAAUAUAAGCAUAUCAACAACACUUAUAUACAACAAAAACAGUAUGAGUCACUGCAACAAGAAAAGAAAAGGAAUGAGAAUAAAGAUAUCAAGUUGUAAUGGACCGCAAAACAUUCCAUAUUGUCAGAAAAACUAUAAUUAGUACACAGUAUGUGAUUCAUUUGCAAUAUAAGUAUCAUCACUUGAAUAAACAAACAUCAGUCCAAGUGUUGGAAUAAAAAUUAUUGCUUUAUCACCAAUGGUUGAGUCUAACACCCUUAAAAAUCCAGCACUAACACCACCAGAAGCAUAUCUUUGUAAUUUACUUGUGUAAUUGUGUUGCUAUAUUUCAUGGUCAGUAUUACAAGGUAUUCACUUCAUCCUAGAGGACUUAAGUUCCGAGAUGAAGUAACAUAUGUUUCAUAAAAAGAAAAAAGAACAAGGGAUUCAUUGGUAUAUUUGUUGAUACAAAACUACAGAAUACUCAUGUAACACCAAGAUCAGCCAAUUAUUCCUACAUUCAAAAAGACAUGUCACUCUAAUAUUUCCAAAAACUUAGCCUAAGAAUAUAUAUGAUUGGCAUGUAUGAAACAAGAGUAACUCCUCUAUUUCAAGAGUAGUGAUCAGAAACUUCUACGCUAUCUGAAGAGGCUCUGAUUCUAGAGAUGAUUCACCAUCAUUAACCAAACAAAAUAAUUUUUUAAAAUUUAAUAAAUAUAAAAAAUCAUUCAGGAAUUGCAAUAUUAAGUUAAUGGUUCGAUUCUGCCAGCAACUUCCUCACAGAUAUCAGAAAAAGGAGCUUGGUUAUCCUCAUUAUGACCGCAAUUUUAGAAAAUCAAUAAAAAAACAACAAUAAGGCUGGUUGAAAAUAUUUAGCUAAUCAAAUUCGAUCGACCAUUGAAACUUACCAUAUGCUGACUGCUGCUCUAGCUAUGGCGAGAGGGAGAGGCGAGACGACGAGAGGGAGACCGAUGGCUGGUGGAAGUCGACGAAGACUAGUGUGGUGGCUGCUAGUUUAGGCGUUAGGGUUUCUAGGAAUUAGG
rnacentral:lncRNA from 1 species